CAAAGUAGGUAGUUUUUU
rnacentral:snRNA from 1 species